rnacentral:lncRNA from 1 species
CUCUCUCUCUCCUGUCUCUCCCUCUGCUCUCCCUCUCUCUCCCUCCCUCUCCCUCCAUCUCUCCCUCUCCUCGCUGUCUUCCCUUGCUCAUUGUUCUCUCUCCCCCUGCCUUUGAUGCACAUACGUUGUCACAUUCCAUCGACUCCUCUCUUCUCUGUUCUUACACUCAAGCCUGGCGGUGCUUUCGCCAGGCAGCAAGCAGCAGCGUCUCCUGCGAGUUUUAGUCAUGUGUGCAGCUCAGCUUGAUCGAGCGUUCCUUUUCUGCCUUUUCACUCUUACAAAAGAUUAAAAGGUGGCGUCACAUUGCUCCCCUGUUCCUUCCUGCAGGAGGGACUUAAAAGGGACAACAAAAACUAAUCACUCUCAAUAAGUAUUUUUCUUGCUGGCAAAAAAAUAAAUAAUAAUAAAGAAAGGAAAGGAAAGAAAAAAGAAAAAAAUAAAUAGAAAGGAAAGAAGUAAUUUGAGCCCGUGGUGAGGAUUGGAGCGAGCUAGCGAUGCUGCACACUGCUAACAAGGGAAGGAAGCCUUCAGCUGAGGCAGGUAAGAGCGCCGAGCCGAUCGGAGGGUUUGACCGAGUGGCUUAGUUAAAUUUCUGUUUUCACCGGUUUUAUAUCUGCAGCAGAAGCCGAUUUUUCAGUCGGCUUCCUUUUGUUUAACAUAGAAAGUACCUGUAUUAAUUUUGAUGAAUUAGAGCAUGCAGCAAAUUCAAUUGAAAAUAGAUUUGUAUAGUAAAUGCAUUUAUAUGGAAUGAUUUUUUUCCUCCCUUUUAUUUAAGGGGAGAGAUGAGAAAUAUGAUUUUGAUCAGAAUAGCACUUUGCAUUACGUUAAAUUCUAAACAGCUAAGGGAAGGGGGAAACAUAAUUCAAUUGAUACUGUUUUUGAACUCCAGGACUUAAGCCCUGGGAAGACAGAUGGUAUUUGAAAUUUUUUCCUCUUUCUGAACUUCUGAUGCGUUAUAAUAAUUUCUCACCGGAGGUAUCGGCAAAGGGCAGAGUUUAUUUAAGUCUGGCUGCUUGGGUGUGUUUGGCUUGGCUCUUGUGGGUGAGGCGCAUCUCGAAUCUCCUGAACCUGAGGCAGGUUGACGGUUUCUAAAUGGAGACUAAGUGUUGUCCCAAAUGAAAUAUGAACUUAAAACAUCAGGUGAGGGCACGCCUUAGAGAGGCAUCCAGUAAAUAAUUAGGAGAACCGAGUUAUGACAGUUUGGAGGGGGAGUUAACUCUGGAAGUGCUGUUGGAUAAAGCUUUCUGGAUUCGAGACCCCCUUAAUGGCAGAGGGGGCUAAUUAGAGACUCAAGUGGGAACUUUGAUUUAAGCCCCCAAAUCUAGGAUACCUGUAGUGCUCUUCUAGAGGUAGCUUUAGGUGGACAUUCCUUUUGUGCGCUAUGAAUGGGAACUCUGGAUUGUAUCUGGUGGCAUUUCUCCUUUGACAAGCUCGGGGAUGACGCUUUAAAGGGCUCGUAUCUAUUUUCACGGUGAACAAACAGAGACUAUGCUCUAUCCUUGAAUCAUCUCUCAGCACAGGGUGUUUGUGGCCGCAGAUGUUGUUUUUAAAGUUUGGGCUAUUUGCUGUUAAUCUCACUUUUGGUGGAUUUUGUUUUCAUUGCCUCUGCUGUU